GGCAGUCGUUGUGCAGGCACUUUGGUGACUCUAGAUAACCUUGGGCCGAUCGCACGUCCCUGUGAUGGCGACGAUGCAUUCGGAUGUCUGCCCUAUCAACUUUCGAUGUUACUUUCUGCACCUACCAUGGUGACCACGGGUAACGGGGAAUCAGGGUUCGAUUUCGGAGAGGGAGCCUGAGAAACGGCUACCAUAUCCAAGGAAAGCAAAAGGCGCGCAAAUUACCCACUCCCAACGCGGGGAGGUAGUGACAAAAAAUAACAAUACAGGACUCUUUCGAGGCCCUUUAAUUGGAAUGAGUACACUUUAAAUCCUUUAACGAGGAUCUAUUGGAGGGCAAGUCUGGUGCAGAGUGACUGACCCGUGCGUGCUGCAGCUGAAACUCCACUAUUGCC